AUUGAACGCUGGCGGCAUGCCUUACACAUGCAAGUCGAACGGCAGCACGGGUGCUUGCACCUGGUGGCGAGUGGCGAACGGGUGAGUAAUACAUCGGCACAUGUCCUGUAGUGGGGGAUAGCCCGGCGAAAGCCGGAUUAAUACCGCAUACGAUCUACGGAUGAAAGCGGGGGACCCUCGGGCCUCGCGCUAUAGGGUUGGCCGAUGGCUGAUUAGCUAGUUGGUGGGGUAAAGGCCUACCAAGGCGACGAUCAGUAGCUGGUCUGAGAGGACGACCAGCCACACUGGGACUGAGACACGGCCCAGACUCCUACGGGAGGCAGCAGUGGGGAAUUUUGGACAAAGGGCGAAAGCCUGAUCCAGCAAUGCCGCGUGUGUGAAGAAGGCCUUCGGGUUGUAAAGCACUUUUGUCCGGAAAGAAAUCCUUGGCCCUAAUACGGUCGGGGGAUGACGGUACCGGAAGAAUAAGCACCGGCUAACUACGUG
rnacentral:rRNA from 1 species